rnacentral:rRNA from 1 species
AUUGAACGCUGGCGGCAGGCUUAACACAUGCAAGUCGAGCGGAGAUGAGGUGCUUGCACCUUAUCUUAGCGGCGGACGGGUGAGUAAUGCUUAGGAAUCUGCCUAUUAGUGGGGGACAACAUUCCGAAAGGAAUGCUAAUACCGCAUACGUCCUACGGGAGAAAGCAGGGGAUCUUCGGACCUUGCGCUAAUAGAUGAGCCUAAGUCGGAUUAGCUAGUUGGUGGGGUAAAGGCCUACCAAGGCGACGAUCUGUAGCGGGUCUGAGAGGAUGAUCCGCCACACUGGGACUGAGACACGGCCCAGACUCCUACGGGAGGCAGCAGUGGGGAAUAUUGGACAAUGGGCGGAAGCCUGAUCCAGCCAUGCCGCGUGUGUGAAGAAGGCCUUAUGGUUGUAAAGCACUUUAAGCGAGGAGGAGGCUACCUAGAUUAAUACUCUAGGAUAGUGGACGUUACUCGCAGAAUAAGCACCGGCUAACUCUGUGCCAGCAGCCGCCGUAACAC